CAAACAACGUUGGCGAUGGUUAACACUUGGAUGGGUGACCGUUUUUUCAGGAAUUACUGUUCGGAAAGGAAGACUACUUUAUGAAUUCUUUAAGAAGACACUGUGUUAUCUAGGAAGUCAUGUAAAAAAAUGGUCAUUUUGACGACAUAUGACCAGAUAUGACCAUUUUAGGACGUCAAAAUGACAUGGGCUUGCUACCUGGGAUAUUAUUUAGAAGAAAAAAAGAAAACGACCUUAUACUCGAAAACGUUUUUGGGUUAAUUCAUUGUUUCAAAUAAAACAUGAACAUGGAUUUUAUAAUGCAAUUUUAUCAACACUUUCACACCAAAUAAGUACAUUUAGAAAUUACUUUCGUAUGAAUUCAAUUCAACUUGAAGAGUUAUUAUUCAAAGUAGCACCUUUAAUUUCAAAAGAAGUAUUAGUUCGAGAACCAAUAUCUGCUAGUGAAAGAUUAUGCUUGACAUUACGGUUUCUUGCUUCCGGUGAUUAUAUGACUUCCAUGAGCUACCAAUACCUCCUCGGACUAACCACAGUUAGCAAUAUUAUUUCAGAAACUUGCGAUGCAUUAUGGUUUGUUCUUUCUAAACAAGUUCUUCCAUAUCUUUUUACAAAAGAAAUGGUUAAGUAUUUCUAAAGAGUUCGAAGAGGUAUGGAAUUUUAACCAUUGUAUAGGAGCUAUUGAUGGAAAACAUGUUAUUAUUUAAUGUCCUGAAAUGCAGGAUCAGAAUAUUUUAAUUAUAAAAACAGUCAUAGUUUUGUAUUGCUUGCUAUUUGUGAUGCAAAAUGUGUAUUUACUUUUGUGGAUAUUGGAGUCUAUAGACGUCGCAGCGAUGGUGGAAUAUUUAGAGAUGUUUUUUUUGGUCGAAAAUUCAGAACCAAUGAAAUGAAUAUGCCUGAUCCAAAACCAUUUUACUUCGAAGAAAACUCUAUGCCUUACGAGCUAGUUGGAGACUUAAGCUUUCUCACUUACUGAAUAUUUAAUGAGACCUUUCCCAGGAAAACAAAGUUUGAAUCAGGACAAAAUUAUUUACAAUUAUCAUCUUAGUCGAGCAAGGAGAACCAUUGAAAAUACCUUUGGCAUUUUAUCAAGUCAAUGGAGAAUUUUGAGAAGAUAAAUUGUUCAGUUGAAACAGCAAUGAAAAUAGUACAAGCCAUUGUGUGUCUUAAUAAUUAGAUUCGUAUACAAGAUAUUGGAAUCAAUGAAUAUAUCACUAAAGACAUAGUUGAUCGAGAUUGUUGCGAUGGCUUAACAGAAGGUUUUUGGAGAAGAAAUAUAUGGACAUUAAUUCUGCUUUUCAAGAGAUAAGAAGCUGUAGUACAAAAAACAGUUCUUGUAUAGCUGCAAGAAUUCGAAAUGAUUUUUGUGAAUAUUUCAACAGCGAGGGAGCCGUACCUUGGCAAUUUUCACACUGCUGAUUUAUAUAUAUUAUAAAUUUGACUAUUAUUUAUAUCAAUUAUAUUAUAUUUGUAUAAUUAUAUAAAACUUGUAACCGUGAAUUUUCAAACUCUAUUGGCUACGGAUAGCCGUGGGCAAUUCAGGGUUCGGACGGCGGGCUGGUUAAGUGAAUAAACGGAGGCAAGGUGAAUUCGGCUUAACACUAUUGUUUAUUCAAUUAUUCCUAUUUAAUAUGUACAGCUGUCCCUAUCUAGGCUGCGUUCGGAAAUACACACUGGGUGCACACCAGCCGUUCGGAAACACUCGUGUGUACUUGGUGUGGGUCGUUCGGAAACGGUGAGUGUGUCACACCAUGUGCCACCAAACCACCCGACGAAAAAGCAGGCGGAGUCGGUGUGACUUAGUGGCGCAUGCAUUUACGCUAUAAACCGAUAAAGCUGGCAACACGUUGCAACGCAACUUCGGACUUUUUAUGAGUUUUGUCUGGUUACCCUUUUCUCUGCUUAAAUACGAUUACUAAUCUUGUAAAAAUGUUUAAUAAUAACGUUACAUUAGUGAACGGACGGCACAUGACCGUAAUGGAGAUAUACCUAUUUUAGAUAGCAAAGGACAAUUACUUGUACAAGAUACAAAAAAUAAUUCUAUUUUUCCUGUGUCUGUGUGUCCAGAGAUAUUGCAAUUUUUUAAUCUAAAAAUUUUUGAUCAGUCGGAUGUGAUUAAUAAUAGCAGCUCAAGCGACGUGGGAUGUUCAAAUAUCGAACAGAGUGAAUCUUCAAAAAUAAUUGAACGGAAUGAGUCUCCAGGUAAUGCCUUUAUUCUUUUGCUGUUUUGUUUUACAAAACAAAAUAUUGUUGUGUAUUUGAGGAAUAUUAAUAUCUUUGUAACCUCGCACGUAUCAACUGCUAAUUGGAAAGACGACAAUGAAGUCAGAUGUUUGAUAUAUCUCUGGCAAGAUAAUUAAAAAAAUUUUAAAACUAUGAAAAGUCGAAACGUAUGGACUUUGAUAUCCAAUGAAUUACAAAAAAAAAUUUUUGAAUGGAAAAAGAAAACUCCUAUGCAGUGUGAAAAUAAGUGGAAAGAUAUAAAACGAAAAUAUAUGGAAACAAAAGAUCAUAACAACAAAUCAGGGAAUGAUCCUAAAACAUGUAAAUUUUACAAAGAGUUGGAGGAAAUUUUGAGCGAGAAACCAUUUGUUAAGCCUGUUGCUCUAGCAUCAAAUCUCGUCAAACGACAAAUAGUGAAUUUGGAAGAUUCUGAAAAUGAAUGAAGAUUCGGAAUCAUCUACCCAGACUACAGAGAUUCAUAAAAAAAGAAAGCUAAGUAAGGUUCAAAAAGAACUGAAAGAUUGGUCUGCUACUCUCCUUAUUGAUGCACAAAAUCGAGAAGAAGCAAAGGAACGGCGCCACAAAGAACUUAUAGCUGCAGCUCAAGCAGAAUCAAGAGCUGCAGUUGAUGCUUACAAGGAUAUAAUGGAAAGACUGAUCGAUAAGUUGUAAAAAGAAUAAGAAAAUGCCGAUGACGUCCGAGAAAUGCUAUCAAUCGUCUAAAUCUGAUAGUCAUGUGGUGACCGCUAAGUCACGCAAGGAAUCACCAAAGUAUCGAAAAUUAGUUGGAAUGUAUGUAAUGCUAAAAGAGAAUUCAGACUUUGGCAGAAAAGCAGAAAGCAGAAAGCAAUCAAAGUUUAUGCUGGUAGCAAACUAUAUUCUUUUUGUUGCUUUAAAACCUAUUGACUAUUAAUUUAAGUUCUGAUUAGUUUUUUGCUUUUCUGCUUUCUGUUUUUCUGCCAAGGUCUGAAUUUUUUCUAAUACUAAUCUAAGUAACGAACACAAGCUGUGACAAAUAGACUGAAAAUAAUAUAUUAAAUGUUUUAAUGUUUUGUUUAUAA
rnacentral:lncRNA from 1 species